AGCGCCAUUCUUGGCAAGCAGUCUUCCUUGGUAGGCGGAAGUUCCUUGCCGGCAAUGGCCUACGCCAAAAGAUGACCUUUCCUUGUGGAAAAGAGGAGAAUGAAACAAUCCUUCCAAGAACCAACAAGAAAGAGCUUGCCUUUGCAAGGUGUCUUGACUCCUUUCAAAUCCAAGAACUUGGAAGACAUGCCUUUUUGACGGGUUUUGCCAGAGAUACCGGAUGGCAUGGCAGCCUGGCUGGGCCUAGACCUGAGCCAGUAUCAUGCUCCGGUAGAACCGAUGCAUGCAAUCAAGGUUAUUGGGGAACACAUAACCAAACUUUUGAACGGGACAGACGAUGGACCGAAGGUGAGGGCUGAAGAGGGGAGAGAUGGACCGAAGGUGAGGGCUGAAGAGGGGAGAAGAGGACGCUUCAUUGAAUGCUGCCCUGAUGUUAUCUACAAGGCACAUUCUUUUAAGUCCACAUCAAUAGUGACAGAAUCUCAGCAGACCUCCAACGAAGAAGAGGUAGACCCUGUACCAACCAAAAGAUGACUUGCCACCUGCGCCAUUUACCUUAACCAAGCAAGAAAAGAAAGCUGAUGCAAGACCAAAGAUGGUUAGAGUACCUAUAGACUUUGGUGACAUGUCAACAUCGUUCUUCACGAAAACUUACGGCAUGAAGACCCACACUUGCAUGAAGGGUGCUGUGAUGCAUUUCAUUGCCAUCUUCCACAAUAUCUGAGAACGAUUGGUCCUGUGUCCAACUUUUGGAUGUUCCCAUUCGAGCGUCUGAAUUCAACUAUUAGCAGAGCCAUUGGGAGCACAAGAUAUCCAGAGCUUGCAGCUAUCAAAUACAUGAAGAUCAAGUGGUUGAUGAGUAUGCUGUAGGCUGCUGGGUAUCUUCCACAGUCCAAGGACACUUUCUCAGAUGCAACUCAGAGUCAAGUGUAUCUGACUUGUGGAGGGAGUCUCCAAAGGCAGAUGAAUCCUGUGGAAUGCCAUCAUACUGCAGAGCUAUAUUAGCAGAUGGGUUUGCCAGUGGAAGGCGAUGUGGAGAUCACGGUCCAUUCUUAUGCCAAGAAAUUUGUUCCACGCCAAGGUAGCACUUUAACACACAGGUCUGCCCCUCUGGAGGCCUGUACUGUCCAGAGGUCAUCUGUGGUGGGUUUUAAUUUAGGAAGAGGUGCAUACAUUGGAGAGGUUCAUUAUUUCUUUAGCCAUGGCAAUCGAGGCAGGAUCUUCAAUUUCGCUGUGCUGAAGUGGUUAGGUUUCUCAAAGUCUGCAGAAGGAAAGUGUCACUGUGUUCUGGAGGACAGCAAUGUAUUUCCAGAUCCAGUUGUACUUCUUGACAGACUUUCCCCACCAUUAGUUCAUGCUUGGGAAGACAAUAUUCUCUGGCUGCCUAGUCUGUGCUGAACAUUCACGUUUCCAUAUCAGUAUCACAAAAGAACAUUAUUUUGGAAAUUUGGUAAAUUGUCACUACAAACAGGUUUUCUAUUAAAGAUCUAUCACUUCUCAGUUGUUUGGCCGAUUUGAUUCAUAUUAUUCAUAUUUAAUCAAAUGUUGUAUGCAAACAAAGCAUACAAUUUGACUCUUUUUUUACUUCAAAACUAUCACCAUGGCAACAUAGUAUGGGCUUCUGAUUGGUCAAAAGAUAUUAGACUUCAUCAAAAUUUGGUAUAUAGGGGAAUUAGGAUGUGCUGAGCAGCACUAUAUAGGUUUAGUUGCCAUGACAAACAUGCUAUUAAGGCCUUGAAAAACAUGCAUACAUAUCGAACAUCAAACAUUGGUAGCACUUUUUUCAGCAUCAUUGGUCAUAAGUAGUUAGUGAACUUUGGGUAACCAGGAGUUUUGCGUACAAUUUAAAAUGUUUACACUGCUAAUUAAAGAAAGUCAAAAAUCAAUAUGAGUGACUUCCCCCUUUACACACACACCCUCAUACUCCACCACAACCAUGCAACACCAACAUAGGCAUUUGUGAAGGGGACCUCCACGCGGUAAGAGCCGGGCAACAAUAAUGCAUUACAAUCGCAUUAUUGGCUAACACCCUUUCUUGUUGUUUUUUCAACUUAUUUCUUUCUGUUUGCUUUCAAAAAAAAAAUCCCAUCCCCCUACGUUCAUAUAUUGAAUGAUCAAACAUAUUUCUCUUUUAAAGUUUUCAGAAUAAACCUAAUUCAAAUUAUUAUUUAACAACAUAACUUAUUAAUGGUUUUCAUACAGACUUUGAUUGCAACAAAGAUAAAUCAUCUCGAAUACGUCAUUGAGGUUAAAAUCGAAUUUGUAAUGGUGACCUAAAGAAGACCUGCAUAAACAAGCAGCAUUACAGAAAUAUGGUGUAGAAAUGGCGAGUUAUAACCUAUAAUCAAUAUACAUUGUACUUUUACAUAAAAAACAAAGUAGCUGUGGUCUAUAUCUGCUAGUAGUAGACAGACAUGCACAUAUGUUUAAAAACGAUGCAAAAUCUGUGAAAAACUUGUGAAGCAAUUAGUCGUCAUAGCAGUGAAAAAUGAAAGGCACCACAGGAGAGAAUAAUUGAAUCUUCAUUUUGGUUCAUGACAUUUAAAUUUUGGUCGAAAAAUAAGAAAGUAAUUGACUAUUAAAUUGCCUAUUGUACAGUCAUACAUGGACAAACCGCCAAAUUCAGACCCCUAGUGGGAGGGGUGACAUCACUUAUCACUGUAUAAUGAGCCUAUACAUACGAGUACUAUUGACUGAUAACACGUGUCCUAGGCUCCGUUAUAACUGUAACAAGGCUGUUAAGCUCCAUUAAUCAAAGUAAUAGCACAUGCUAUGAUUAUAUCUAUGUUUC